rnacentral:tRNA from 1 species
GGGGUUGUAGCUCAAUGGUAGUGCACUUGCCUAGCAUGUAUGAGGAACUGGGUUUGAUCCCCAGCACCA